rnacentral:rRNA from 1 species
GCGAUAUGUACACAUUUUAUUACCUAAUUCAAUUAUUUAUACUUAAUAUAAUUUACUAAUAAAUCCACCUUCAAUUACUUAAAAAAUAAAGAUCCGUAUUUUUUAAUUUAAAUUGUAACUCAUCACUACCUCCCCUAAACUGCACCUUGACCUGAAGUCAAAAAAUUAUUUUUAUUGAAAACAUCCUUUUGGAGUAAUCUGACAACGGAGGUAUACAAGCUAAACAAAAAGAGGAAAGAUUAAACGAGGAUUAUCGAUUACAGGACAAGUUCCUCUAUUUGGAUAAAAUGCCGCCAAAAUCUUUGGGUUUGAAGAACAACUUUUACUACCCUUGUUUUUAGUAUGAAGAAUAACAGGGUAUCUAAUCCUGGUUUUUAACCUAAAUUUCUUAGCUCCUAUAAAUUUUAUAAAGAAUAUUUAAAAUUUUAUACAGGUUUCACUCAUAAAAAAUAAAUAAUUUACUUUAAUAAAUUUAAUUGUUAGCUAGUUUUAACAGUAAUCUUUACUUAAAUUCUUCGUCUAACCGCGACGGCUGC